rnacentral:rRNA from 1 species
GACAGAGGGGGCAAGCGUUGCUCGGAAUUACUGGGCGUAAAGGGCGCGUAGGCGGGAUGGCAAGUCGGUCGUGAAAUCCCUCGGCUCAACUGAGGAGCGUCGAUCGAUACUGCCGUUCUUGAGGAUUGCAGAGGAGACUGGAAUUCCCGGUGUAGCGGUGAAAUGUGUAGAGAUCGGGAGGAACACCGGUGGCGAAGGCGGGUCUCUGGGCAAUUCCUGACGCUGAGGCGCGAAAGCGUGGGGAGCAAACGGGAUUAGAUACCCCGGUAGUCCACGCUGUAAACGAUGACGACUAGGUGUGGGGGGGUUCAGUCCCUUCCGUGCCGCAGCUAACGCAUUAAGUCGUCCGCCUGGGGAGUACGGCCGCAAGGUUG